rnacentral:rRNA from 1 species
CGACCGUACAUAACUUCCUUCCGCUCAUAGCGUAUAUUAAGUUGUUGCGGUAGAAAAGCUCGUAGUUGGAUUUCUGUUGAGGACGGUCGGUCCGCACCACGUGCGGUAUCAGGCUCGGCCUCGGCAUCCUCUCGAAAACUGUUUUUGUGCUUGAUUGCAUGAAGCAGGUCUCGGGACUUUUACUUUGAGGAAAUUAGAGUGUUCACGGCAGGCUAUCGCCAGAAUACAUUAGCAUGGAAUAAUACUAUAGGAUCUCGGUUCUAUUUUGUUGGUUUCUAGGAUUGAGAUAAUGAUUAAUAGGGACAAUUGGGGGCAUUCGUAUCAACACGUCAGAGGUGGAAUUCUUGGAUUGUGUUGCGACGAACUACUGCGAAAGCAUUUGCCAAGGAUGUUUCCAUUGAUCAAGAACGGAAGUAAGGGGAUCGAAGACGAUUAGAUACCGUCGUAGUCUUUACCAUAAACUAUGCCAACUAGAGAUAGGGCGUCGUUCAUUCACGACUCGCUCUGCACCUUAUGAGAUAUCAAAGUCUUUGGGUUCCGGGGGGAGUAUGGUCGCAAGACUGAAACUUAAAGGAAUUGACGGAAGGGCACCACCAGGAGUGGAGCCUGCGGCUUAAUUUGACUCAACACGGGGAAACUCACCAGGUCCAGACAUAAUAAGGAUUGACAGAUUGAUAGCUCUUUCUUGAUUUUAUGGGUGGCGGUGCAUGGCCGUUCUUAGUUCGUGGAGUGAUUUGUCUGCUUAAUUGCGUUAACGAACGAGACCUUAACCUGCUAAAUAGGCUAGCCUAUCUCCGGAUAAGCUACUGUCUUCUUAGAGGGACUGUACGUGUUUCAACGUGCGGAGGUUUGAGGCUAAAACAGGUCUGUGAUGCCCUUCGAUGUUCUGGGCUGCACGCGCGCUACACUGAUGCAUUCAACGAGUGUACAACCUUGCCCGAUAGGGUUGGGUAACCUUUUGAACAU